rnacentral:SRP_RNA from 1 species
GCCGGGCGUCGUGGCGCACGCCUGUAAUCCUAGCUACUCGGGAGGCUGAGGCAGGAGAAUUGCUCGAACCCAGGAGGUAGAGGUUGCAGUGAGCCAAGAUCGCGUCACUGCACUCUAGCCUGGGCGACAGAGUGGGACUCCGUCUCAA